rnacentral:misc_RNA from 1 species
CUUAUAGGCGAUGCCUAGGCGAUAUGGCAUAGCUAAAACCCUGUGGUACCCCACGGUGCCUGUAGUACACCUCAACACCAUGAACUAGGAAAUGAUACCAUGAGUGCAUUAAAGAUAGGUGGAACUGAAGUAUUCAACCAUAAAUUUCACCAAAUCAGUACCAAAUUUUCUCUUAUCUCUCUAUUGUUUAUUUUGGAGUCGGACGACAGUGAGUUUGGCGAUGAGCGACUGACUGGCCACUCUCAAUGCUGUGUCGUAGCUGAGGUGGUCAUAGUUGCAGGCCUGGCCACAUGGGGAUAUCGGUUGUUGGAGGCAUAUGAAGGAGGUACGGUUACAGUGGCUAUUAGUCGACACAAUGCAGAGAGUCUGAGAGACCGUCACUGGGCUAGACGGGCAACUCGUGUAUGCAAAUGCAACGAUGCAAGGAGAUGAACGGAGG